rnacentral:rRNA from 1 species
GACGAACGCUGGCGGCGUGCUUAACACAUGCAAGUCGAACGAAGAGCGAUGGAAGCUUGCUUCUAUCAAUCUUAGUGGCGAACGGGUGAGUAACGCGUAAUCAACCUGCCCUUCAGAGGGGGACAACAGUUGGAAACGACUGCUAAUACCGCAUACGAUCUAAUCUCGGCAUCGAGGAUAGAUGAAAGGUUGCCUCUACAUGUAAGCUAUCACUGAAGGUGGUGUUUGCGUCUGAUUAGCUAGUUGGGGGGGUAACGGCCCACCAAGGCGAUGAUCAGUAGCCGGACUGAGAGGAAGAACGGCCACAUUGGGACUGAGACACGGCCCAGAAUCCUACGGGAGGCAGCAGUGGGGAAUCUUCCGCAAUGGACGAAAGUCUGACGGAGGAACGCCGCGUGAGUGAUGACGGCCUUCGGGUUGUAAAGCUCUGUUAAUCGGGACGAAAGGCCUUCUUGCGAACAGUUAGAAGGAUUGACGGUACCGGAAUAGAAAGCCACGGCUAACUACGUG